UCUAGGGAAGAGAAGGUUGGG
rnacentral:miRNA from 2 species